AACGAACGCUGGCGGCAGGCUUAACACAUGCAAGUCGAACGCCCCGCAAGGGGAGUGGCAGACGGGUGAGUAACGCGUGGGAACAUACCCUUUUCUACGGAAUAGCUCUGGGAAACUGGAAUUAAUACCGUAUACGCCCUACGGGGGAAAGAUUUAUCGGGGAAGGAUUGGCCCGCGUUGGAUUAGCUAGUUGGUGGGGUAAAGGCCUACCAAGGCGACGAUCCAUAGCUGGUCUGAGAGGAUGAUCAGCCACAUUGGGACUGAGACACGGCCCAAACUCCUACGGGAGGCAGCAGUGGGGAAUAUUGGACAAUGGGCGCAAGCCUGAUCCAGCCAUGCCGCGUGAGUGAUGAAGGCCUUAGGGUUGUAAAGCUCUUUCACCGAUGAAGAUAAUGACGGUAGUCGGAGAAGAAGCCCCGGCUAACUUCUUG
rnacentral:rRNA from 1 species